GUGCAAGGGUCCUAACCACAACAUCACACCACUCCACAGCCAGGAGUUAGAGUCAUUCCUAAAAGCGAACCUUCUCCCACCAGAAACCAGGACUCUGUGCCAGGGCGGGAUUUAUGACCUAGUAACUGAGGACAGAAAUAAUUGGUCACAUUAGUGCCUGGCAACCCCAGGCCGGCUCCGCUGUGGAGGGGCAGCCUGCAUUGAAAGGGCUGAGGCUCUGGAGGAAAAACACCAGCUGAGGAAGAAUGAAGAGCUGCCUGUUCUAAGUUAUUUUCCUUCUGUGGUCAUUCGAUCCCCAGGAAGACGGCGUCUGCCCCAUCGAGUGCCUGGAGAAAGGAGGCAAUUACCCAGAGAAGUCAAGCAAAAAGGGAAGGACAAAUGAAAAUCCCGCCCCAGGGAGGAGGUCCCGGGCUCCACGCUGGAGUGGAUACAACCCUCAGCACACCCUGCCUCGCACAGAAGCUUGAGUUAAGGCUUGGACUUUGGGGUCAGAAAGAUCUGGAUUUGAAAACUAAUUCAAAUGCCUUUUAUAUUUGUGGCCUAGGCAAGAUUUAACUUCUCUGUGCCUCAGUUUACUCAUUUGCUAAGGGGGCAUUAAGAGCAUAGACUUUAGGGUGAUCGCACCUGGAUUUCAAGCCCAGCUCUGCCACUGACAGUGUCAUAAAGGGCAGGUUACCAACCUCCAGUGUUAGGAGGAAGUGACUAAAGGGUUACCUUGGGGACUGUGGGGAGGACCAGCUGAGGUGACACAUAGAAUACAUGUGCUCAGUGCUUUGGAAAGUCAUUGUUAACUUGUUACACACCGCCCCUAAGCCUAUGACAGUGGCUCUCAAAGUGUGGUCCCCGGACAAGCAGCAGUAGCCUCACCUGGGAACGUGUCAGAAAUGCAAAUUCUCGGGCCCCACCCCAGACCCACUGAAUCAGAAACUUUGGGGGUGGGCCCAGCCCUCUGGGCUUUAACAAGCCUCCAGAAGAUUCUGGUGCAUGCUGAAGCCAGAGGGAGACUGACUGUGGUUUGACAGGGAGAACAGCUUUCAGCAAUAAUCUGAACUGUCCACUUACCUUAUGAGGUAGUGAGCUCCCUGCCACUGAGGAUGUGUGAGCACAAGCUGGGUGAGCACCUGUCGGGAUGUCACAGGAGGAGGAGUAGGUCCUUGCCUCGCUGCGAUGCUGUGGCUCCGAGCGGCAGUCAGCGGCACUCCUCUCUUGGGUUUAGCCUUCGACGUUGGUGCAGAAGCUGGAAGUGUUUCACUUACACAGAAAAGAGACUGAGGUGAGCUCCUUGGUUUGGGGAAAAGAGAAUGCCCUUUACUGUGGCUGCAAGGAGCAACAUCGGGACCUUCUCUGAUCCUCUUAGCUGGAAGGGACCUCUCUUUCUUCUGCACUCUCGUAUCACGUUACACUGACACUGCUCCGGAGCCCCGUGCCCCGGCAUCAUAGCCGUUUAUGGCUUAUUCUGUUAGAGAAGCAGCAAGACACGUGUGGGGUGGCUGAAGCCCUGUCAGAUGGUGAGCAAUUCUCCUACCCUCUCUGGUCUCAGUCUCAUUUAUGUAAAGGAGUCAAUAAGGGAUUCCUUCCUGAAGCUUGAAGGAUUCAAGGAGCCUGAAAUCUGGUGCAUCGUAGCCUGGACUCCUCUUUAAUCCCCUACAAACUGUAAAACGUCUUUGGGGAGAAUGCAUUUCUGAUUCGUCAAGAUGUCCUUUCUGCUGCUCUCCACUAAUCUCUGCCCCUGCCUUCCCACCUGAAAGACGGAUAUUCGAUAUGCAGCACAUAAUAAGGGCUUAAAUAUUUAUUCAAAAAGAUGAAAGGAAAAGAAAUGAGAGCGCGAGAACAAUUUAGUAAAUGAAUGUACUUCCUCAUUAGCUGCCAGAUAUCCGAGGGGCUCUGUCUCUGGGGCAUCUCCUGGGCCCGGGGGGCUGGGCUACACACGGGCCUUCCCGCUGGAAGAACAACCCACAAUACGCAGUGCGAAGAGACCUACGAGAGAGGAGGGGGAGCAGGGAAGGCUGAGCCGGUCUCUCUGUAGGCAACUUGCUGCAGUGUCCUGGUGAUUUGGGUGGUUGUUUACUGUGGGGAGAACUGGCCUUGGGUUCGUACGCACUCAUCUCUGUCUUUUUUUUUUUUUUUUUGAGGAAGAUUAGCUCUCAGCUAACUACUGCCAGUCCUCCUCUUUUUUGCUGAGGAAGCCUGGCCCUGAGCUAAUAGUGUGCCCAUCUUCCUCUACUUUAUACGUGGGAUGCCUGCCACAGCAUGGCGUGCCAAGCGGUGCCAUGUCCGCACCCGGGAUCCGAACCGGCGAACCCCGUGAGGCUAAGUGGAAAGUGCGAAUUUAACCGCUGUGCCACCCGGCCGGCCCCUCAUCUCCGUCUUGAACCCCUUUGAUGGAAGCAGAAUGUUCCAAGUGUAGAUUCUAGAAGACUUAGAAGCGGGUCUAAGCUCCACGUGUUGAGCUUUCUCCACAGUGGGGGGCAGGCCAAGGAGCGGUUUUGAAGCUUUUAAAGGCUCACUGGCCCUUCAAAAAACGGCUCAGCUGGACAUAUGGUUUUUGAAACUUUUCAAAAAGCCUUGUGGGCUUAUUUUUAGAGCAAACCUUAACCUUGUAAAACUUCUUAAAGGAGCCACGGAGGGCCCGAUCGUUUGAGCCCCUUAAAGCCCCAGGCAGCUGGAAACUCCCAGAAGUUUCCAGCAUAGACUUUCCUUGUGCUUGAUGUUUGUACCAGGCUGCCCCUUAAAAGGGUGUGUCCUGGGAGCCAGAAGACCUGGGCCAUCGGCAAGCUGCUUAAGGAGGCAGUUUGCUUGCCUAGAAUCACAGACUCACAGAAUCUCAGACUCUCCUGAUGGAAAGGAAACUUAAAAGUCACCGAGUCAACCCUGACUUGAUGCCAGAACCUGCACUGAGGCACACUUACAAAGAGGUGCUCUGCCAGCCCUGCACCUCCAGCUCCGAGAAGGGCAUUGUCUGGGCGCUCCUUCAUUCAAUGCAUUUGUCACUGAGUGCCCACUGUGUGCUCGGCACCGAGCAACGUGCUAGGGAUACAAUGGUGAACAUAAAAACAGGCGCCAUCUCAAUAUGGACUGAGCAUUAGUGGGGAAGACAGACAUAGCUCAGUGAUCGCACCAUACAUAAUUGCAAAUGAAAAAGUAUCAUUCAAGAAUUCAAAGGUUCAUAAAAGCCUCUGAGUGGACCUGAUCUGGUCUGGGACAUCAGGGAUGGUUUGGUGAAGAGGCGACCUUUGAACCAGGAUCUGAAGGAUAAGGGAACGGACGUUAGCAAGGCAAGAGGAGGUUAUGGGAAGGCACAGAGGGCCGAGAGAGCAUCUCUGCAGAGGCCUUCAGGUAGAGGGAGUGUGAGGAAAUGGAAGCAGUCCAGGUAUGUGGCUAAAACGGGGAAGACCUGGCUUGAGGUGCUGGAAGCCCUCUGACUCAUUUUAAGCAGAAGGUAGGCAAGUCACACCAGAGCUGUAAAUUCUUUCUCAUGUUGCUAAGUGCGGUGGUCUUGAAAUACAUCCAUAAUCCUCCUCCCUUCGGAAGGCGAAGCCUCGUUUCCCUCCCUCGAAUGCAGGUCAGUCCUAUUCUAAUUAAUGAGCCUGGUGAAGUGCUUCUAUGUACUUCUGAGAGGAAGUCAUAAAAAGGAUAGCUUCCUUGGCACUCCUCUCUCUUGGAUUGCUUGCUCUGGGAGAAGUCAGCCACCAUGCUGUGAGGACACUCAACCAGCCUAUGGAGAGGCCUACAUGGAGAGGAACUGAGACUUCCUUCCUACAACCAAAUUACCAGCCAUGGCGAUUAGAAGUGGAUCCUCCUUCCCAAGUCAAACCUGUAGAUAACUGGAGACCCGGCUGAUACCUUGACCGUAACCUCAUGAGAAACCCCAAGCCAGAACCACUCAGCUGAGCCACUCUUGAAUUCCUGAGCUGCAGAAGCCGGGUGAUAAUAAAGGCUUAUUGCUGUUUCACAUUAUUGGCUUUGGGUAACGUGUGAAGCAGCGAUGGGCAUCCGACGUGAUGAGGCAUCUCCAGCAAUCCUGUGACUCAGCAUCGCUACCUUGAUUUUUCAGCUGAUCAAACUAAGGCUCAGAAAGGCGAGUCUGAAUCGCUCAAAGUUCCUUUGGUUGCAAGCAACAGAAACGAACUGAAUCUCACUUCACCUAAAGAGAGAAAGUCGUCGUAAGAUGCAGCGGUCAUUUGGGGAACCCAAGCUCACGUGUGAGCACUGGGCAGCGUCCCAGAAAUGACAAGAACCAGGAGAGGGAGGCAGCAGAGGGCUCGGGGAGUGUUGCUUCUCCUUCUCUCCCCUUGUCUCGACUUGGCUGCUGGGCUGCCUCUGUCUUUUUUCUCUGAAGACUGACUUUCUCAGCUGCUCGGUGCAAAUAGUUGGAGGAAUGGCAGCCUCCCACAGCUUCCAGGUUCACACAUUAUCAUGCCAACCAUAGGAGAGACUGCCCUUCUGCCUCCCUCUCUCUGGAUUGCACAUUAGCACAGCAUGUCCCUUCAGCUCGGAUCUUGGAAUGAAGAAGACACACAGAGCAGAGCUGCAGCCACCCUGCAGUCACCUCCAACAGUGAGAAAUAAACUUUUGAGAACCGACUCGUCUGAGACCCAGUCUUGAGAGCAGGCCAUGCUGUGGCAGGCGUCCCACGUAUAAAGUGGAGCAAGAUGGGCACAGAUGUUAGCUCAGGGCCAGUCUUCCUCAGCAAAAAGAGGAGGAUUGGCAGUAGGUAGCUCAGGGCUGAUCUUCCUCAAAAACAAAAAAACAAAAGAAGGCGGGGAGGAGCAGGGGGCAGUCCCCCGGGGGGAUUCCCAGAUUUCUUUUUUUG
rnacentral:lncRNA from 1 species